AACUAACGCUGGCGGCGUGCCUAACACAUGCAAGUCGUACGAGAAAGUCGGCUUCGGCUGAUGAGUAAAGUGGCGCACGGGUGAGUAACGCGUGGAUAAUCUGCCCUUUAGUUGGGAAUAACGUACCGAAAGGUGCGCUAAUACCGAAUAAUGCUGAGUGACAUCAGUUAUUUAGCCAAAGAAGGCCUCUGCUUGCAAGCUUUCGCUGAAGGAUGAGUCCGCGUACCAUUAGCUAGUUGGUAGGGUAAUGGCCUACCAAGGCGACGAUGGUUAGCUGGUCUGAGAGGAUGAUCAGCCACACUGGAACUGAGACACGGUCCAGACUCCUACGGGAGGCAGCAGUGAGGAAUAUUGCGCAAUGGGGGCAACCCUGACGCAGCAACGCCGCGUGAGUGAGGAAGGUUUUCGGACUGUAAAGCUCUUUUGCCAGGGACGAUAAUGACGGUACCUGGAGAAUAAGCCCCGGCAAACUUCGUGCCAGCAGCCGAC
rnacentral:rRNA from 1 species